UCCAUGUGCCUUACAAGUUAG
rnacentral:piRNA from 1 species